rnacentral:rRNA from 1 species
UAAAGGUCGAAAGGGGAGAUUCAGUUUCCAUUCCUCAGUGCCGCUCCGUGCCGCGGGUAUGCGGGGUGUCCGGUUCGUCGCCUUCGGGCGGCGCCGGCCCUCGGCCCGCGGCGCGGUCUCGCGCGCGCGAGGUGGAGCGCACUUCUCCCCGAGUAGGACGCCGCGACCCGUUGGGUGUCGGUCUGAGGUCCGGGUGCGAGCCCGCGUUCGCGGMUUCGGCCGCGUCGCGGAGCCCCGUGAUUACCCGGCCGACUGCCCGACGGUCGAAAGUAAGGAACCGGUCCGCGCGCUUAACCGCGUGCGCCCGUGCCCCUGGCGAGCGUCCGGUCGAACCCGUCGUGCGGACUCUGUCCGCCGCGGGCCGGCCGGCGCUGUCGGCUUGGGGACUUCUCGGGCAGCGACCUCUCAUUCCUGUCUGCGGCGCUCACAACUGGGCGGCCCACCCGGCCCGUCUUGAAACACGGACCAAGGAGUCUAACAUGUGCGCGAGUCAUUGGGUUCCACGAAACCCAAGGGCGUAUUGAACGAAAAGGCCGACCUCGCGUCGGCCGAGGGAGGAUGGGGCGAAGGCUAACCCCGGAGCCCCCGCACUCCCGGGGCGUCUCGUCCUAGCGCGGCUCGUCCGCUGCAAGGUGAGGCGCACCAAGAGCGCACACGUUGGGACCCGAAAGAUGGUGAACUAUGCCUGGCCAGGACGAAGUCAGGGGAAACCCUGAUGGAGGUCCGUAGCGAUUCUGACGUGC